AAAGCUCCUGACUCUAUCGCUUCAUAACUGAAGAGGAAAGUCCGGACACCAUAGAGCAUUAUACUAGCUAACGGCUAGGCAUUUUUAAUGACAGCAAGUGCAACAGAAAAAAACCGCCUUCGGGUAAGGAUGAAAAGGUGAGGUAAGAGCUCACCAGUAUCUUAAGUGAUUAAGAUAGCUGUGCAAACCUUAUAAGGUGAAAGGUCAUGUAUACCAAGGUUUCAAUUUGAAUAAGAGUUGCUCGCUCGAUCUUGGAGGGUAGACUGCUAAAGGUGCUUAGUGAUAAGUUCCGUAGAUAAAUGAUAGAGACCCUUUUUGGGUUACAGAAUCCGGCUUAUGAAGGAGCUUUUCUU
rnacentral:RNase_P_RNA from 1 species